UCCAGCAGCCAUAUCACCCUGUAACUCACAAAUAGCAAUGAAGCUAAGCAGCUGUGAGCCAGUUAAGUACCUGGAUGGGAGACCUCCUGGGAAAUUAAGGUUGCUGCUGGAA
rnacentral:rRNA from 1 species